rnacentral:rRNA from 1 species
GUGCCUAACACAUGCAAGUCGAACGAGAAAGUUUCCUUCGGGAAACCAGUAAAGUGGCGCAAGGGUGAGUAACACGUGAAUAAUCUGCCUACGAAUUCGGGAUAACUCGACGAAAGUUGUGCUAAUACCGGAUAAGACCACACUUCUUAUGGAGCGUGGCCAAAGGAGUCUCAAACUCCGUUUGUAGAUGAGUUCGCGGACCAUUAGCUUGUUGGCGGGAUAACAGCCCACCAAGGCGACGAUGGUUAGCCGGCCUGAGAGGGUGAUCGGCCACACUGGAACUGAGACACGGUCCAGACUCCUACGGGAGGCAGCAGUGGGGAAUAUUGCGCAAUGGGCGAAAGCCUGACGCAGCAACGCCGUGUGAGGGAUGAAGGCUUUUGAGUCGUAAACCUCUGUCAGAUGGGAAGAAUAAUGACGGUACCAUCAGAGGAAGCCCCGGCUAACUCCGUGCCAGCAGCCGCGGUAAUACGGAGGGGGCAAGCGUUGUUCGGAAUUAUUGGGCGUAAAGAGUAUGUAGGCGGCUGGAUAAGUCAGGCGUGUAAGCCCACGGCUCAACCGUGGAAUUGCGUUUGAAACUAUUCGGCUUGAGUGCAGGAGAGGAAGGCGGAAUUCCCAGUGUAGCGGUGAAAUGCAUUGAUAUUGGGAAGAACACCGGUGGCGAAGGCGGCCUUCUGGUCUGUUACUGACGCUGAGAUACGAAAGCCAGGGGAGCAAAGGGGAUUAGAUACCCCCGUAGUCCUGGCCGUAAACGAUGGGCACUAGGUGCGGGAGGUAUCGAUCCCUUCCGUGUCGCAGCUAACGCAUUAAGUGCCCCGCCUGGGGAGUACGGUCGCAAGGCUGAAACUCAAAGGAAUUGACGGGGGCCCGCACAAGCGGUGGAGCAUGUGGUUUAAUUCGACGCAACGCGAAGAACCUUACCUAGGCUUGACAUGCACGGGACAACCCCAGAAACGGGGCCUCUCUUCG